CUGUGGCUCAGUCUCACAGACUCUCCCGUUGAGAAAUAAGGGCUGAGAUGCUCGUGCACAGGGUUCGUGUCAGAUUGACACUGACCGAGUCUCUUGAGAGGUUCACCAUCAGUCUGAUCGCAGCCAGACUCGGAUUGAGCUUUACCAUAAUGACAUGGUUUCAUGCCAGUGGUGUGAGGGAAGUAACGUGACUGAAGUGGACCAGAGGCUGUUGCAUCAGCAGAGUUUCUGAGGGACUGCAGGGCUGUCUGGCACAUGAAGAAAAGCCAGACUCCCAGAAUCCUGAAAUAAACAACUUAUUAUUUUUUCUUCUUACACUUACAGGGACCAGAUACAGAUUGUCAAGAUUGUUUGCCUAGUCAAUGUAAUACCAGAAUUAGCAUGCAAAGUGACAACAGACUGUCAAAAUGUAAACAUUUUUGAUAAUGAGCCAGAGUUCUGAAAGUGAUUUUUCUGAAGUCAAGAUUUUCAGUCUUAAUUAUGUUGAUUAAAUCGAGACUAAUAAUUGAUUUUUAUUUUGUGCUUGGCACAACAGAAAGAUAACAUGAGAAAAAGGAGUUCAUGUUUUGUCAUUUUUAUUUUGUGGUCUGCUAAUAAAAAAGUCUGCCAGAAACUGCCAGUCUGCUUUUGUCAAACACAUCUGCCCUUUUUUCAAUCCCUGAAGUAUUGUGUGGAUGUCUGAAGAAUAUCGAGUUGUCCCUUUCCAUAUCUCCUUUCUUUCUGCCCUCGGUAACCCAGGACCCACCGUAACCUUUUUGAACACUUCAGAACUGAGAUUUGCUCCUGCAAUUUUCUGGAUGGUUAACACCAGAGGAAAUCCUUUAUGGCUCAUCUGACUCUCUGUUUCUCUGUUGAACACAGGUCUUGCGCUCAGGUCUUUUAUCUGGGACUGAUUGAUGGGGUUUCAGCAGAGCUUGAGUGCCCUCCCAGCUUCACUCAGCCUUCCCUCUGCCUCUUCUGUGACCCAUAGGAGUAUUUCAGAAUCUAUUCGUUACUACUGGCCCAUGGUAGAGCAAUCAGAUGUUCCCCAUGGGCCUCCUACAAUGAGUGUUGUGGGCUCAUGUAUUCAGGUUUUGUCUCUGUUAUUUUUGUUCAGCAAGAUGUAGUUUAGUCCGAAAAAGAAAACUCUGUCAUCAUUCACUCAAAAACACAAAAGGAGAUUUUUAGCUGAAUGUCCAAGUAGCGCUUUUCCAUUCAAAAAAGGAAAGUGAUUUAUACUACCAAGUUCAAAAGAGAAAAAAAAUGUAUAUUCAAGUCAUCUAAAGCCAAAUCAUAGAUUUGUGUGAGAAAAAUAAUUUCAGUUCAAAGUCUUUCUCCUUUUGUGAAAGAUCUUUUAAAAUCUAAUUUGUGAACAAGACCAAAAACAUUUGACUUUGUAUAAAGCCUAGAAUAAUGAGUCUUGAAGACCAUGUUUGAAUGCACACAAGCGCAAAUGACAUUUGAAAGUCAUUUAAAGAUUUUCAAAAUGUCUAAUUUUUGUGCCUUAGAAGAAAAAUAUAAUGGAGAUUUCGAAUAAAAUGAGGGUGAGAAAAUGAUUUAAUAUUGGGUUAAACUAUUUCUAUAAAUGUAGCCUACUUCCACACCGUGGCGAUGUGGUCAUGGCAUCCAAAAGCAUUGGCAGUCUAAACAUAACAAGGUCACUAGUAUGAUAGCAUUAUUCUCUUUUGCAGGUGACACACUUUUCUCACACUCUCUUUGGGCUUUGGGUAAAGGUCAACAUACUCUCUAUUAUACUGUCUGGCCACACACUGCCGGUCACAUGACUCUGAAACCAACCUUCCACUAUGAACGUAACUGCAUGUAAUGUAGUAGAGUAUGAUCAGUCAUCCACUGGCAGCACAAGAAAGGUUGCCCUUUGUGGUAACAAAGCCACACCGCAUUAACUUGCUUGUCACAUUGACUGGUUUGCCUCUAAAACCCAAACCUGUUUUAAGUUCAUCUGAGGUUUAGUAUUUGUUGAUGGACUUGCUGAUAUCUGGCAUAUUCCCUGUGGUCUAGAAUAAAGGCGCAGUCUGGCAGAAAAAUGACAAAGUCAUCAUGAGAGCAUCUUCUUCGUCCAGGAGCAGAAUAGAAGCUCAUGCCAAACUGCAAUAUCCUGAGAAACCUACCUGGAUCCUGCACUUGUCAUCACCGUUUGAAUCCAGAGCCUUUCAGCAAACAAUCAGGUCAAGUGAAUAACUGAACACACAAGCCUUACAGCCACCCUGGAAAGUCCCCGAAGGCAAAUACGGGAAGAAUCUGAACAAUGUCGAAUGAGAAAAUGGAAUGCUAUGCAUGUCAAUACAGUCUCUUUGUCUUGAGUUUGAACUCUGUACUUGAGGAGGAACCUGCUGUCCAGAAUUAAUGCCAUCUCUGCCUCAUUUUUCUGUUUAAGAACUGAGAUGGAACUUUCAUCAGAAUGGACCUCUUCCAAAUGGACACAGCAAGGCAACUUAAUUAUGGACUUUUGUGUUUCAAUACUUGCAUUUUUGACAAAUUUAAGGUAACUAGGGUGAGUAUGCAUAUUUCAGUAAUGCUCCCCUGAUUAAUCAUUUACUAAAACAUUCAGUGAAGAUAGUGUGUGGCCAUAGUGCAUGUAGUUUCAUAUCUAUAAAUCUCUUUAAAUCCAGCCCAUACUUUUUCAAAAUAUACCCUUAUCCAAUUUUAUAUUUCUGAGUGACUUUCAUAGUCGGUAGUUAGGGCUGUCAAAGCAUGUUGUUACAUUUACUUUCACAGUGCUGUAAGUACUUUGUGAAAAACUCCCAGUGAAAUGAGGUGUGUAACAUGCCAAUACACUGCAGAAACAAUGUAUUAGACUUGUAAAUGAGUCUGGAUGGGCGCCUGAAAGAAACAGUACUGGCCUGUCUUAGGGGAAAAAGGGCUAUUUUGGAAUAUUAUAUGUAAGUUUAAAAAAUGUACAUGAAUCAGUACACAGUGUUGAGAAGUAACUAGUUACAUGUAACUAAAUUAUGUAAUUGAAUUGCAAAAUAAAUGUAAUUGUAAUCAGUUACAGUUACAGAGAAAAAAUGCAAUUAAAUCACAGUUUUGAAAAUGUUAAUGAU